AGCGAACGCUGGCGGCAGGCCUAACACAUGCAAGUCGAACGCUCCGCAAGGAGAGUGGCAGACGGGUGAGUAACGCGUGGGAAUCUACCUAGUUCUACGGAACAACAGUUGGAAACGACUGCUAAUACCGUAUACGCCCUACGGGGAAAGAUUUAUCGGAAUUAGAUGAGCCCGCGUAAGAUUAGCUAGUUGGUGAGGUA
rnacentral:rRNA from 1 species